CGGCAACAGCUCAAAUUUGAAAUCUGGCGUCUUCGACGUCCGAGUUGUAAUUUGCAGAGGGCGCUUUGGCAUUGGCAGCGGUCCAAGUUCCUUGGAACAGGAAGCCAAAGAGGGUGAGAGUCCCGU
rnacentral:rRNA from 1 species